UGGAAAGAGAAAUGGCCAGAUGUGUGAU
rnacentral:piRNA from 1 species